AACGAACGCUGGCGGCGCGCUUAACACAUGCAAGUCGAACGAGAAGGCGUAGCAAUACGCUUGUACAGUGGCGAACGGGUGAGUAAUACGUGGGCGACCUACCCUCGAGUGGGGAAUAACCCGCCGAAAGGCGGGCUAAUGCCGCGUACGCUUCCAUCUUUAUGGAGGUGGAAGGAAAGCCGUGCCGUGGGCACGGCGCUCAAGGAUGGGCUCACGUCCUAUCAGCUUGUUGGUAGGGAACGGCCUACCAAGGCUCCGACGGGUAGCUGGUCUGAGAGGACGAUCAGCCACACUGGCACUGCGACACGGGCCAGACUCCUACGGGAGGCAGCAGUGAGGAAUAUUGCGCAAUGGGCGAAAGCCUGACGCAGCGACGCCGCGUGGGGGAGUGAAGGGU
rnacentral:rRNA from 1 species